GCAGUCGAACGAACUCUGGUAUUGAUUGGUGCUUGCAUCAUGAUUUACAUUUGAGUGAGUGGCGAACUGGUGAGUAACACGUGGGAAACCUGCCCAGAAGCGGGGGAUAACACCUGGAAACAGAUGCUAAUACCGCAUAACAACUUGGACCGCAUGGUCCGAGUUUGAAAGAUGGCUUCGGCUAUCACUUUUGGAUGGUCCCGCGGCGUAUUAGCUAGAUGGUGGGGUAACGGCUCACCAUGGCAAUGAUACGUAGCCGACCUGAGAGGGUAAUCGGCCACAUUGGGACUGAGACACGGCCCAAACUCCUACGGGAGGCAGCAGUAGGGAAUCUUCCACAAUGGACGAAAGUCUGAUGGAGCAACGCCGCGUGAGUGAAGAAGGGUUUCGGCUCGUAAAACUCUGUUGUUAAAGAAGAACAUAUCUGAGAGUAACUGUUCAGGUAUUGACGGUAUUUAACCAGAAAGCCACGGCUAACUACGUGCCAGCAGCCGCGGUAAUACGUAGGUGGCAAGCGUUGUCCGGAUUUAUUGGGCGUAAAGCGAGCGCAGGCGGUUUUUUAAGUCUGAUGUGAAAGCCUUCGGCUCAACCGAAGAAGUGCAUCGGAAACUGGGAAACUUGAGUGCAGAAGAGGACAGUGGAACUCCAUGUGUAGCGGUGAAAUGCGUAGAUAUAUGGAAGAACACCAGUGGCGAAGGCGGCUGUCUGGUCUGUAACUGACGCUGAGGCUCGAAAGUAUGGGUAGCAAACAGGAUUAGAUACCCUGGUAGUCCAUACCGUAAACGAUGAAUGCUAAGUGUUGGAGGGUUUCCGCCCUUCAGUGCUGCAGCUAACGCAUUAAGCAUUCCGCCUGGGGAGUACGGCCGCAAGGCUGAAACUCAAAGGAAUUGACGGGGGCCCGCACAAGCGGUGGAGCAUGUGGUUUAAUUCGAAGCUACGCGAAGAACCUUACCAGGUCUUGACAUACUAUGCAAAUCUAAGAGAUUAGACGUUCCCUUCGGGGACAUGGAUACAGGUGGUGCAUGGUUGUCGUCAGCUCGUGUCGUGAGAUGUUGGGUUAAGUCCCGCAACGAGCGCAACCCUUAUUAUCAGUUGCCAGCAUUAAGUUGGGCACUCUGGUGAGACUGCCGGUGACAAACCGGAGGAAGGUGGGGAUGACGUCAAAUCAUCAUGCCCCUUAUGACCUGGGCUACACACGUGCUACAAUGGAUGGUACAACGAGUUGCGAACUCGCGAGAGUAAGCUAAUCUCUUAAAGCCAUUCUCAGUUCGGAUUGUAGGCUGCAACUCGCCUACAUGAAGUCGGAAUCGCUAGUAAUCGCGGAUCAGCAUGCCGCGGUGAAUACGUUCCCGGGCCUUGUACACACCGCCCGUCGACACCAUGAGAGUUUGUAACACCCAAAGUCGGUGGGGUAACCUUUUAGA
rnacentral:rRNA from 2 species